rnacentral:misc_RNA from 1 species
GAAAUAUUGUUUGUCAAACAGCUACCAGAGACUAACUCUUGAUUUCAAGCCAGAUGCUCCAGAAUGAAUGAUAGACAUAGGCGGAUAAUCAUUUAAUCUCCGUGUACAAAAGCAAUCUCAAAUAAACAUACAGGAACUUGAUGCUCUGGUUCUAUUUUUAGAGCAAUGUGGCAACGCAUUUUUAUCGUCUCUAGCUUAGUCAUUCUCAAAUACUAACUCCUUUCAGACAUCAAAUAUGAAUUGUGAUCCUCGUCGCUUUUAAGGGGCGUGCUGUUGUUCAGUCUCAGAUACACAUAACAGCACGGUAUCACUGAAUAUCGAAAGGGCUAAAAUUACAGUUUUUCUUGUUCUGUAUUAUCUGUAAUCAGGCAGGACGGUAUCAAACCUAACCAUAUGUUAUGGGAGAGUUUACCAGGACUAGUACAGCACCAGGAAAUAUCAACCUAUUGUUGGAACUAUUCUCAUCACAUCGUCGUGCAAGUAUCCUAAUAUAAUUUUGAUGCCGAGUCUCACGAUUAUCCAUUAGCCGGAAUUACAGUUUUUCAAUUUGCCUUUUUGACGUGAUAAUGCACUUUGGCCCGCGAGGGAGCUACCGGGUCCGAAGUAACAGUAGCCGACACGGGUGUAAACCGCAUAACUUAACGAAAUAAGCGCCAUGAAAAGAAAGCAAAAAUGUAGACAUAAACCUGAGGGCAACACAACGUUCCUUGGUUUUAGCUACAAACAGAUUUAGAACGCCGCACCAGAAACACAAGCUCUGCUUGUUGAAGCUAUCACUCUUGGUUUGUCUAUACAGGUAAAGCAGAACAUACAAGUUACUUGGGUAGCUGUUAGUCGUACAAUGUGAUUUUGUAUCUUAAUUGGACGGAUCAAACAAGGAUUAUCAUAUCUUAAAAUGCAAGUGCCAUGACCUGAGACAAGAUACCGAAAAAACUAAAAAGGGACCUACUAAAAUAACACCAGAUGCUGGAUUACAAACAGUAGAUCAUUUCGAAGUACACCAAAAACUCUGCAAAAUGAAGUGGCGUAGGGAAAGUAACAAACUGCCUUGGGACAGUGUCAAAUUUGAUAGGAGAUUACUUACUGUGAUGACAGGUUUGACCUCGUUCGCCAUUCUUAUUAUGAUUAUAGCAGUGGGGACAGAUUAUUGGAUAGUACUGACAAUCCCGGGGGGAGCGUGGAGGAACUCAACUCAAAUGUUCGUGACGGGGACAAUCUCUGGUCUCUGGAGAAUAUGUCGGAAGGAAGUAGACAACUUCAAAAAUCCGACAACCUCGCGAGAAUCCUGCGAGUAUCACAAACUGUUUCCUACAAUGAAAGAGGUCAAUAGAGAUCCAGAAGUAGAUAAAAUUAUAAUAGAUUACAGUCGCACUGAGACUGCGUUUGCUGUUAUAAGUCUUCUGAUUAUGCUAGUUGGCAAUGGUUUUGCCUUAUAUACCUUCAAAGAACAUCGUUAUAUGUUUAAGAGGCUCACGGCGUUCACACAUUUUGUUGUAGCUGCACUUGUUCUAGUGGUUCUUGAAGUGUUAAUAAACUCUAUACACUACGAAGAGAGCAAUCUCCCAGCUCGGCACCCCGAGAGGGCCUAUCAUAGCUUUGGCUUCUCGUUUGCAUUCGGCUGGAUCGUCUUUAUAAUAUACGUAUCGGCUGGGAUCGCAUUUCUGUUCGCCUCAAGGAAACGAAAGGGAGACCAAGUCCAAACGGAAAUUGAUCCAACGAGCCAAAUUAAAGACGACGAGGCUAUUAAUCUCGGAAGGGUGUAGCAGUAAGGUUGAGGGUACAUGCGGCUGUGUCCUAGUGAAAGGAGACUAAAAAAGGCACCCAAGAAUCUCUCUUACAUAACUCUGUAUAAGCGAGCAAAGGGGAAUUCACUGGAAUACAACGCCCCGUACCUGAUAAAAUAUGUAAUAUAUAAAUAGGACUUACUGUCUGUUAACCUGCUUCAUAACCAUUUGAACAGAGA